UGGGGUGUGGCUCAGUGGUAGCGCACUUACCUAGCAUGUGUGAGGCCCUGGGUUUGAUUCCCAGCACUGUAA
rnacentral:tRNA from 1 species